UCAAUAAUAUCAAAAUGUUCCUCCUAAGAGACCCUGUGGGUUUUCUUUGUCAUUCUGUGGGCGUAUUAGACUAUGGGUUGAGAUACAUGUGUACCUUGUAUGUUUUGUAAAUGAGUGAUGGGUGUAACAAGGCUUGCAGUUGGAGCAUAGUAACUCUGUGUCCUUUAUACCUCUGGGAGCUCAGACCUCAUGCAAUCGCACAUAACACACUUAGUGUCCUGCAUAGUCUUAUAGCCGUCCAUUUGAUGUUAUGAUUUUCUGAUUAUAACUUGCAGCAUGUGAGGAAGACGAGGACAAGAAUCAAAAAGAAACACAAUAAGAUGAUACUGCCAAAUGGAAAUUUUAUUGAAGGAACGACCAGCUUUAUAACAUGAAAAAAAAAUAAUAAGGAACGCCAGUAAAACCCAAAAGGCUGAAAGGCAUGCAUUCUGCCUGAUAAAUUUUCUGAUGAAUUAUACGUUUCCGGACAGGCUCAGAAAGGGGUCUAUCGCCAUUGUUUUCCAGAAAUUUCGCAGUUGGAACAAUCCUUUUUCUAGUGACUCGCAAGCAACAAAUAGCAUGUGCUCCAUUGAUGCUUUGUUCACUUAAACAUUUGCACUCUCUCUCUGUUCUCAUAUGUGGUUAGCAAUGCAAGUGGGAAUCUAUAGCCAAAAUUGUGGUGGCUACACUCAAUAUUAAUCUGACCGAAGCAACAGACGAGCAAGAAACACUGAAAUUUGUGGGCUAUUACGACUUCAAAUGGGGGGGGGGGGGCUAUACAAUUAGGUGCAUUUGCUCAUUUUAUUAGCUUACAUGGUGUUACCUGAAAAGUGGAUAUGCAGAAUGCUACGAAUGGAGUGAAGUCAGGGUGGUUUGUUAUUGAUAUGGUCUAAUAUAUAGUGCUUUCUCUCAUUGUCCUUUAGCAUUACAGCUAUCUUUACAUGAUUGCGAUGGCGUGUCAGCAAUGCAUGGUUUUGCACUUGUUAUCUUCAAUUUUAUGGUGUUCAGGGAAAGCAGUGCAAUUAAAUUUAAGGGUUGCAGCUACUGCACAAGGAAUGGACGUUUCUGGAUCUAUUGAGACUGCGUUAAUUGGCUUCAAGUAUAUUACCCGUUUGCAUUAUAUAGUAAGUCACGGUUGUGAACUUGGUUCUUGCACAUUUGUUUUCAGUUCAUAUUACUGAUAUUCAUUCAUUGUUAUUACUUUAGUGCUGCACAACAUACCUAGAGAGAAGAACUUUAUUGAUUUCCUGCAGAUUGCUGUGAUGGGCUCGGCUCCCACACCACCGCGGAGGAGUCCGUUCGGGUGGCUGCUUCUUCGAAUGCGGCUCGGAACGUGAGACCUCGAGCCACGUUGUGUGCCACCUCGUUUGGACUGAACUCCGGUAGAUCUGUGGGUGUGUAGGCUAGGAACCAGAGGAUUUGUACAGAUUUGUCUGCCUCAUGAGUUUUGCUUGUAUUUAAGAUCCUCAAUGCCUCGGGGGAGAUUCUGCCGUUGGCAUAGUUUUGAACAUACCUAGAAUAUUUUUUUGAAAAGCCAGUAUUGUUUAAUGUAUUUUAGUGAACAUGCUUCAUACACUGCUGUGCAAAGUUGCCUUGAAAAUGUGGCUCUCAUACUGUGUUUGUAGCAACCAUCAUACGCUGUAUUCGAGCCUCUAUUGUACAACUUCGAAGUUGUACUAGAAAUGGGCCUUUCUAGUUGGUUUUAGUGUCGUAAAUUGACUGUACUGUCUUUUUCUGCAUUUUAGCGAGUCUGUUUGAGUUUGUGCAGCUACUACACAAAGAAUGGACAUUUCUGGAUCUAUUGAGAGUGUGUUAACUGGCUUCAAGUAUAUUACCUGUUUGCAUUAUAUAGUAAGUCACAGUUGUGAACUUGGUUCUUUGUACUACAUUUGUUUUAAGUUCAUAUUACUGAUAUUCAUUAAUUUUCAUUACUUUAGUGCUGCAGCACAUGCCCCCUUUUUUUUUAAGCCAGUAUUGUUUAGUGUAUUUUAGUGAACAUGCUUCAUACACGGCUGUGCAAAGGUGCCUUGAAUAUGUAGUUCUUAUACUGUGUUUUUUACAUUUGCAUUGUUUACUUGAAGGUGUAACUUUUCGGAUUAUCACACUGUAGGUACAAGGUAUAAAAUAAAUUCAUCUUUU